rnacentral:rRNA from 1 species
GGGUUGUGAGGUUAAGCGACUAAGCGUACACGGUGGAUGCCCUGGCAGUCAGAGGCGAUGAAGGGCGUGCUAAUCUGCGAUAAGCGCCGGUAAGGUGAUAUGAACCGUUAUAACCGGCGAUACCCGAAUGGGGAAACCCAGUGUGACUCGUCACACUAUCAUUAACUGAAUCCAUAGGUUAAUGAGGCGAACCGGGGGAACUGAAACAUCUAAGUACCCCGAGGAAAAGAAAUCAACCGAGAUUCCCCCAGUAGCGGCGAGCGAACGGGGAGGAGCCCAGAGCCUGAAUCAGCAUGUGUGUUAGUGGAAGCGUCUGGAAAGGCGCGCGAUACAGGGUGACAGCCCCGUACACAAAAGCGCAUGUGCUGUGAGCUCGAUGAGUAGGGCGGGACACGUGGUAUCCUGUCUGAAUAUGGGGGGACCAUCCUCCAAGGCUAAAUACUCCUGACUGACCGAUAGUGAACCAGUACCGUGAGGGAAAGGCGAAAAGAACCCCGGCGAGGGGAGUGAAAAAGAACCUGAAACCGUGUACGUACAAGCAGUGGGAGCCCCACCACCAAAGCAUUCUCUGGUGUUGAAGGCCCUGCAAAGCAGCAUCGCGGUGGCGGAGCGUCGUUUGCGACGCCCAACACACAAAACAAGCGGUGAGUGCUUUGGGGUGGGGUGACUGCGUACCUUUUGUAUAAUGGGUCAGCGACUUAUAUUCUGUAGCAAGGUUAACCGAAUAGGGGAGCCGCAGGGAAACCGAGUCUUAAUUGGGCGUUAAGUUGCAGGGUAUAGACCCGAAACCCGGUGAUCUAGCCAUGGGCAGGUUGAAGGUUGGGUAACACUAACUGGAGGACCGAACCGACUAAUGUUGAAAAAUUAGCGGAUGACCUGUGGCUGGGGGUGAAAGGCCAAUCAAACCGGGAGAUAGCUGGUUCUCCCCGAAAGCUAUUUAGGUAGCGCCUCGUGAAUUCAUCUCCGGGGGUAGAGCACUGUUUCGGCUAGGGGGCCAUCCCGGCUUACCAACCCGAUGCAAACUGCGAAUACCGGAGAAUGUUAUCACGGGAGACACACGGCGGGUGCUAACGUCCGUCGUGAAGAGGGAAACAACCCAGACCGCCAGCUAAGGUCCCAAAGUCAUGGUUAAGUGGGAAACGAUGUGGGAAGGCCCAGACAGCCAGGAUGUUGGCUUAGAAGCAGCCAUCAUUUAAAGAAAGCGUAAUAGCUCACUGGUCGAGUCGGCCUGCGCGGAAGAUGUAACGGGGCUAAACCAUGCACCGAAGCUGCGGCAGCGAACGUAUCACUUAAAGCGAUUCAGCGGGUUACGAUUGACGGAGCGAAGCGACGUCAAAGCGUAUACAAAGUCGAGUCGGUUUAAGGAUACGUUCGUUGGGUAGGGGAGCGUUCUGUAAGCCUGUGAAGGUGGCCUGUGAGGGUUGCUGGAGGUAUCAGAAGUGCGAAUGCUGACAUAAGUAACGAUAAAGCGGGUGAAAAGCCCGCUCGCCGGAAGACCAAGGGUUCCUGUCCAACGUUAAUCGGGGCAGGGUGAGUCGACCCCUAAGGCGAGGCCGAAAGGCGUAGUCGAUGGGAAACGGGUUAAUAUUCCCGUACUUGGUGUUACUGCGAAGGGGGGACGGAGAAGGCUAUGUUGGCCGGGCGACGGUUGUCCCGGUUUAAGCGUGUAGGUGUGUGUUCCAGGUAAAUCCGGUUCACUUUAACACUGAGGCGUGACGACGAGGCACUACGGUGCUGAAGCAACAAAUGCCCUGCUUCCAGGAAAAGCCUCUAAGCAUCAGGUAACAUCAAAUCGUACCCCAAACCGACACAGGUGGUCAGGUAGAGAAUACCAAGGCGCUUGAGAGAACUCGGGUGAAGGAACUAGGCAAAAUGGUGCCGUAACUUCGGGAGAAGGCACGCUGACACGUAGGUGAAGUGAUUUACUCA